CUAAAGUUUAUCAUCGGGUUCUCGAGAUCACAGACAUGGUCAUACGCGCUGGUUCUCAUCAGUGAGCGAGUCUCCACCAGAUGGAGACCGAGAGCUACGAUGAUUCCAUUUACCUUUUUCGUUUUAGGGUUUAUGUCAUUGUCUGGAAUCGCCUUCCUUGCUCAACACUCUUCAUGGAGAUUUCUCUAUCUCUACACAGCCGUUCCCGCAAUAUUCUACUGUAUCUUCCUCUACAUAUUCGCACUCGAAUCACCUAGGUGGCUUCACAUGCAAGGAAACGACGAAGAAGCUAUUAAUGUUCUCAAAAGCAUGUCAUCCAAGAACAAACCCUACUUGGAAUCACUAGUUUCUCAGUUACCUCCGGAGCAAGAAACCUCUGAAGAGCUGCCAAGGUACUCUAUUAAGGACUUCUUCUUCCGAAAGUGGGCUUUUCGGAGGAUUGUAGUUGUUAUGAUCAUAUUGUUUGGAUUGGGAAUAUCGUACUAUGGAGUUCCAUUAGCAGCUAGAGAUAUAGACGUCAACAUAUACUUGAGCGAAACCCUAAACGCAGUGGUGGAGUUGCCUACUUUCGUUAUCACUCCGAUCUUAUUGGAGAGGUUCAACAGAAGAAGCUCUGUUCUAGUGAAUACCUUACUCGGUGGAGCCUCGGGAGUGCUUUGUUUCGUUCUCAGUCUUCUCGGGAAAACAGGGAUGGCGUUUGCGUUUGAGCUAGCGACAUUUUUCUGUGCAAGAAUCGGAUUCAACCUAAUGGCGGUUUAUAUGGUUGAAAUGUUUCCGACAUGUGUGAGAAGUUCCGCAACAAUGAUGUUUAGACAGGCUCUUGUCGUUGGAGGAGCUUGUUGUCCGCUCAUUGCUUCCAUUGGGAGAGAUCUACCAUCAGUAUCCUUUGCGAUUUUCGGAGUUGCCAUGUCGGGUUUUGAAUUGUUCGUUUUGAUUCUACCCGAGACAAAAGGUUCAAGCCUCUGCGAUACAAUGGAAGAACAAGAGAAGAGAGAUCAAACCAUAAACACUAGCCAUUGUUGAUGAAUUUAGAAGUUUAGAUUAUAAAUGCUCUAUCUUUAUAUGUUUUCAAAUAUUUGUGGUGUCUGUGUUGAUGUAAAAGACUUAUAAGAAGUGAGUUGAAGUUGAAGAUGAAGUUGAAGUAUUGUUGUGUAAUGACUAAAUAAUAUUUUGCUAUUCAUCCACAAAGAUAUCAAAAAAUUCUCAGUGGUACUACUGUUUCUGUUUUUGCUUUUUUUUUUCUCUCAGGUUUUGUAAUGAUUCAUAGCUGUAAAUGUAAGUAGGGUCUAGUGAAUACUGAAUGGACUUUUGUUGUUGUCUGAAUGAGCAGGGACAUUGACUCCGUGUUUGUUGGGUUAUGUCUCAAAAUCGGAGUGGCCUAAUAUGAAAGAUGAACAUAUAUGAUUACAUGCGUAGCUUUGAGAACAGAGAUUACUAUGUUCCGUGGGAUGUUGAUCUCGACAAGAUCGAUGCGGUUUUGGAUAGGAUUUGUGGUUCUGGAGAAGGAUGGUGAGACAGUGAAUGUAGUAACAAAAGACGAUGUGAAGAAGAAGCAAAAUAACAGAUUUAAGUGAUAGCGUGUAACAGAAUUUCAGUGAUGGUGAAAUAACAGUUCUAUACGUAGUUUUUCUUCUAUUAAUAUACGGACUACAUAUAAACAAAUAAGUUUGGAAGUUACAAUACUUUACGGUGCAGUCUGAAAGAAAGCUAAUGAAGGUCAGUCAAAAAGAAAAAGAAAGCAGAAGAAGACGAACUAUAUAUAGCAAGAUGUGUAAGAACAUCCGCAACAGCAAUCCUUAAAGGGAGAGUCCUUAAAAAACAAUAAUUAAAUAAUCAAUGGAUUCUACCAAAAGCUAAGGAUUCAACCUUUAAAAUUCCUAAAUAAAGAUUUUUUUAGUGAAUCCUUGCACUAUUUGUGCCUUUGUGUGCCUCUACGAUAUGUGUCAGCUCGUGAUUGGUUGAUAUUUUUUUUUAUUUAUCUGAAAAAGAAAAAAAAUAAUAAUUAAAAAAUCAAAAAACACUUUUUCUAAGGAUUCCAAUGGGGUAUCACCAUUGGAGAUGUUCUAACCCACUCAACAAAGUAAUAAAGACAAAACACCAUAUGAUAAGAAAAUUCAUAAUCACCUGGAUGCUGUUGAAACAUUGGAAAUUGCACCCCUACACAUGUUAAUACGUUAUAUGAGCUGUUGAAACUUUAUCUAUUACAGAGAAAAUUUUAUUAUUCAAUCUCGAAGUGUUAAUAGAAACGUAAAUUGGAAUAUAAAAAUCUAUAAAAAUCAAACAUUUACAAAAAGAUUUAGUGUUCUUCAAUAAAAAAAGUUGGCAAUGUAAUUAGCGGACCAAAGUAUAUAAAACUUGAUGAAUGAUUAGAAGCAUAUUUUAGGUUUAUCUCUGUAAAAGAGUUGUGCUAAUUUUCAGGAUGUUGGAUUGUAACGACAUUUGGGCAAUAGGUGCCCAGCAUAUUGGCUUGUUGAAUGCUACAUUAUACAUUGCAUUGUUCAAAUGAGAGUUUCAAAUCAGUAAAGAAAGACGACGUCGUUGGUUCCUAGCUCCUAACAGCUGACAAGUCUCAUCAGUUAUCACCAUCCAGAUCCACUAGAAUCUUGGUGUCAAGAACCAUCAACAAUACAAAAUUUGUGUAACCAUAGGAAUUGCGGUUAUCGUAUAGAGAGUACAUAUUUUGUAUGAUCUCCACUUAAAUUUGCUUCAUCUCAAGUGUUGCAUGCGUCAUCAGCAUGUCCAAUAAUAUCAAUAAGAUCUCUGUUAAUUAAUGUCUCUAACCAUCUUUUCAUUUUUUGGUUUUCAUAUAAACCAUAUAAUCCAAAUCUUCAUUCUCGAUUUUGAGUUAGUUGCUAACUUACUUUUUAAAUAUUGACAUUAAAUUUGUUUGUGCAAUUGUGCAUAUGAUAUUCGUACAAAUAUAAGCUAAUGACUAAUGAGUAUUGAUAUCACUUGGGGUGAAAUAAUGAUCUCUUCACUUUGAUCAGAGGUAUUUCUGUUCCUCUCUGCUGAUGUGUGUUCUUCCUCAUCCAGUCCAAAAUUUUUAAAACCAUAUCUACAAGUAUUAAUGACAAGUUAUUAUUAUGUGGUACUACUAAAUUUAUGGCAUCACCUAUAAGUAUGAACGCCACUAAAAGAAAAACAGCAAAUUAAAUUCUCAUUAUCAUAAUAUUGACUUCAUCGUCCCCACGCUUUUCACGACUCAUGGCACAUUUUGUAACUCAUGUCAAACUAAAACACGUUGAGAUUUUUUUUUAAAGUUAGAUAGACUUUAGAAUUAAGAGUUUAUUAGAGUUGGUUGAUUUAAAAGUUUGAAAUUUUGUUAAAUUUACUUAACUCUGGUAGUCUUUUAAAAAUUUAGUAAUAGAUUAAAAAAAUUAAUAAUCAAAAGAAUAUCUAAAAAUCUGAUAACUUCUUUUAAUAAGUUAAAUUAUUAAAAAAAAUAUCAUUUCAAAAUAAAUAUUAAUUUGCUAAACAAUAUUUAAUUUUUAAAUAUUACUAUAGUUAGUUGACAAAAAUAAUAAUAAUACUAUAGUUAAUUUUUUUUAAAAAAAAUUAUAAUAUAACCAAUAAUAAUAAAUUAUGUUAAGUUAUUAUAAUUAAUAAAUCAAUAACAAUAUAAUCUAAAAUUAUAAUAAUUAACAAAAAAAUUUACCCCCACUACUCUUGUUAGAAAUGUUAUAGGUUUGUAUUUAAUGAAAACUCAGAUUCAGAUUAUUAUAUAUAAGCUGUAAGAAGGGCAAUGAUCAUCCAAUCAUCCAAUAGCCAACCCCUUGAAAAGAAAAGAAAAAUCUCUAAAACCCCAAACAAUAUUAAUGUCUGGUCCUUCAGAACCAUUGUUGCUGUCUCAUAUCGGCGCCGAUGAUUCUAACGUCGACCACAAAACCAGACCAGAAGCUUUAACUUUCGACAGCAUUGUCGAACACAGUCUAUCAGAUUUUGGGUUCUGGCAACUCUUCCAGGUAAUCCUCGUUGGACUCACUUUGCUCUUCGAUGCUCAGCAGAUAUUCAUCACGGUUUACACAGACGCAUACCCUACAUGGCACUGUCUUAACCACACGAUCUGCGAUCAUGCCACUUCCGACAUCUGCAAGCUCCCAAGAUCAGCUUGGGAAUGGGACGGUGGCUCCACGGACAAAACCAUCAUUUCAGAUUUUGGACUCGAGUGCUCGAGCUCAUUACUCAGAGGUAUGCCUACCUCUGCUUUCUACAUCGGUGGCAUUGUUGGUGGAUUCGUUCUAGCUUUAAUCCCAGAUGGUUUCUUGGGCCGCAAGAAACUAGUUUUUCUCUCAACUUUUGCUACGUCAGUGACUGCAAUCUCUGUUGUUUUCUCAAUCAACGUAUGGAUUUACACAACCCUAAAGUUUGUCAACGGGUUCUCGAAAUCACAGACAUGGUCAUAUGCGAUGGUUCUCAUCAGCGAGCGAGUCUCCACCAAAUGGAGACCGAGAGCUACCAUGAUUCCAUUUACCUUUUUCGUUUUAGGGUUUAUGUCAUUGUCUGGAAUCGCUUACCUUGCUCAACACUCUUCAUGGAGAUUUCUCUAUCUCUACACAGCCGUUCCCGCA
rnacentral:lncRNA from 1 species